rnacentral:rRNA from 1 species
CUAAUGUUGAAAAAUUAGCGGAUGACUUGUGGCUGGGGGUGAAAGGCCAAUCAAACCGGGAGAUAGCUGGUUCUCCCCGAAAGCUAUUUAGGUAGCGCCUCGUGAAUUCAUCUCCGGGGGUAGAGCACUGUUUCGGCAAGGGGGUCAUCCCGACUUACCAACCCGAUGCAAACUGCGAAUACCGGAGAAUGUUAUCACGGGAGACACACGGCGGGUGCUAACGUCCGUCGUGAAGAGGGAAACAACCCAGACCGCCAGCUAAGGUCCCAAAGUCAUGGUUAAGUGGGAAACGAUGUGGGAAGGCCCAGACAGCCAGGAUGUUGGCUUAGAAGCAGCCAUCAUUUAAAGAAAGCGUAAUAGCUCACUGGUCGAGUCGGCCUGCGCGGAAGAUGUAACGGGGCUAAACCAUGCACCGAAGCUGCGGCAGCGACGCUUAUGCGUUGUUGGGUAGGGGAGCGUUCUGUAAGCCUGUGAAGGUGUGCUGUGAGGUAUGCUGGAGGUAUCAGAAGUGCGAAUGCUGACAUAAGUAACGAUAAAGCGGGUGAAAAGCCCGCUCGCCGGAAGACCAAGGGUUCCUGUCCAACGUUAAUCGGGGCAGGGUGAGUCGACCCCUAAGGCGAGGCCGAAAGGCGUAGUCGAUGGGAAACAGGUUAAUAUUCCUGUACUUGGUGUUACUGCGAAGGGGGGACGGAGAAGGCUAUGUUGGCCGGGCGACGGUUGUCCCGGUUUAAGCGUGUAGGCUGGUUUUCCAGGCAAAUCCGGAAAAUCAAGGCCGAGGCGUGAUGACGAGGCACUACGGUGCUGAAGCAACAAAUGCCCUGCUUCCAGGAAAAGCCUCUAAGCAUCAGGUAACAUCAAAUCGUACCCCAAACCGACACAGGUGGUCAGGUAGAGAAUACCAAGGCGCUUGAGAGAACUCGGGUGAAGGAACUAGGCAAAAUGGUGCCGUAACUUCGGGAGAAGGCACGCUGAUACGUAGGUGAAGCGACUUGCUCGUGGAGCUGAAAUCAGUCGAAGAUACCAGCUGGCUGCAACUGUUUAUUAAAAACACAGCACUGUGCAAACACGAAAGUGGACGUAUACGGUGUGACGCCUGCCCGGUGCCGGAAGGUUAAUUGAUGGGGUUAGCGCAAGCGAAGCUCUUGAUCGAAGCCCCGGUAAACGGCGGCCGUAACUAUAACGGUCCUAAGGUAGCGAAAUUCCUUGUCGGGUAAGUUCCGACCUGCACGAAUGGCGUAAUGAUGGCCAGGCUGUCUCCACCCGAGACUCAGUGAAAUUGAACUCGCUGUGAAGAUGCAGUGUACCCGCGGCAAGACGGAAAGACCCCGUGAACCUUUACUAUAGCUUGACACUGAACAUUGAGCCUUGAUGUGUAGGAUAGGUGGGAGGCUUUGAAGUGUGGACGCCAGUCUGCAUGGAGCCGACCUUGAAAUACCACCCUUUAAUGUUUGAUGUUCUAACGUGGACCCGUGAUCCGGGUUGCGGACAGUGUCUGGUGGGUAGUUUGACUGGGGCGGUCUCCUCCUAAAGAGUAACGGAGGAGCACGAAGGUUGGCUAAUCCUGGUCGGACAUCAGGAGGUUAGUGCAAUGGCAUAAGCCAGCUUGACUGCGAGCGUGACGGCGCGAGCAGGUGCGAAAGCAGGUCAUAGUGAUCCGGUGGUUCUGAAUGGAAGGGCCAUCGCUCAACGGAUAAAAGGUACUCCGGGGAUAACAGGCUGAUACCGCCCAAGAGUUCAUAUCGACGGCGGUGUUUGGCACCUCGAUGUCGGCUCAUCACAUCCUGGGGCUGAAGUAGGUCCCAAGGGUAUGGCUGUUCGCCAUUUAAAGUGGUACGCGAGCUGGGUUUAGAACGUCGUGAGACAGUUCGGUCCCUAUCUGCCGUGGGCGCUGGAGAACUGAGGGGGGCUGCUCCUAGUACGAGAGGACCGGAGUGGACGCAUCACUGGUGUUCGGGUUGUCAUGCCAAUGGCACUGCCCGGUAGCUAAAUGCGGAAGAGAUAAGUGCUGAAAGCAUCUAAGCACGAAACUUGCCCCGAGAUGAGUUCUCCCUGACCCUUUAAGGGUCCUGAAGGAACGUUGAAGACGACGACGUUGAUAGGCCGGGUGUGUAAGCGCAGCGAUGCGUUGAGCUAACCGGUACUAAUGAACCGUGAGGCUUAACCUUACAACGCCGAAG